AAUAUUGGACAAUGGGCGAAAGCCUGCUCCAGCCAUGCCGCGUGUGUGAAGAAGGUCUUCGGAUUGUAAUGCACUUUAAGUUGGGAGGAAGGGGUUGACGCUAAUACCUUCAAUCUUUGACGUUACCAACAGAAUAAGCACCGGCUAACUUCGUGCCAGCAGCCGCGGUAAUACGAAGGUUGCAAGCGUUAAUCGGAAUUACUGGGCGUAAAGCGUGCGUAGGUGGUUUGUUAAGUUGGAAGUGAAAGCCCCGGGCUCAACUGUGAAACUGCUUUCAAUACUGGCAAGCUAGAGUUUGGCAGAGGGUGGUAGAAUUUCCUGUGUAGCGGUGAAAUGCGUAGAUAUAGGAAGGAACACCAGUGGCGAAGGCGACCACCUGGGCUAAUACUGACACUGAGGUGCGAAAGCGUGGGUAGCAAACAGG
rnacentral:rRNA from 1 species